CUGUCUCUCUUAUAGCGCUGAUCUCUGCUGGAUCUUUGUUGAUUUUAGUUGCAGCUGGGAUGUUCUGCAUUUGCAGGAAAUAUAGAAAAACUGAUCAAGAAGGCAAGCAUUAACUCCUGCUUUUAGGAAAACACUGGACAUAGUUUGAGUGAUUUGUGGGUUUGCCAAUUUCUGUGGAUUAUGUGCAUUAAAUUCAAAUUUAAAGACAAAGAUGUAAUAAAAUUUCAGUCUUGUUUUUAAUGCAUGGUUUUUAUUUUUAUUUGUUAUAGUUCUCAAAGUUGAUGAUGCAACAGUUCAGAAUCAUGAUGAAGAGAUCAUUUACUCUAAUCCGACAUUCUACAAAAGAAGUCCACAAACAAUGAGGGCUACAGAGGAGAAUCAUGUGGAGUAUGCAUCUGUCUGCAUAAGACGAUGAAACAUUCCUGAGAACAAGUCCCUUUCACUAGACGUUUGGAUUCAGUAUGUGAUCUCUGAUCUUUGGAAGUUACAGAAAUUUUUUGGGAAUUGUUGAGAAUCCACUCUGAUGUGUGGGGGCCUGAAAUCAUCUAUUCUGGAACAAAAAUCUAAACAUUAACAUACAUGGUAUUAUGAUAUAAAAACUACAUUCCCACUGAGUAGCAGCUGUUUGAGAGUCUGAGUGAAACCUGUUAUAGUCUUACUCAUGUUAUUAUACAUGCACAUACCUAUUAUAGUACCUAUUAUUGAACAUUUGUGGUUGCUGUGCAUUUGAGAGCAUGUUAGAGGAAGAGCGUGUGAUUUUUUUUCCAUUCCCGGCUGCUAUUCUGAAACUCAUCGUUUACCACAAUGUGCAUGAUCAUCAUGAUUUAAUUGAUAAGUUGUUAUCUCAAAUCAAGCAGUGCUUAACUGUGAAACCUUACUGUGUGAAAUGUGCAAAUGUCAUGUAUUUAUUUUUUGUAAGUGAGAAAUUAAAUAUUUAAGUGCAUAUUAUUGCUUACCUCACCUUAUAGGCUACUUAGUUUUUGAACCUUUGGUUUGGUUUCCAAGGUGUCAAUAGCCAGAAAGUCUAUCAGGAAUGUCAUUACAAUAGGCAAGAUUAAUCAAAAUUUCAUUUUCAUUUUUGAUCACAAGGUAGUGAUGUAUAUGUCAAUGCAUUUGUAAAAUAUAGGCAUUUUAUGACAAAAUUCUAAAUUGCCGAUGGCCACAUAUGGAAAAAUUGAGUAUUGUUCAACUCGGAAUGUUGUGCUGAAUAUAAACAGAGCAGUCUUGUGAUUUUUUUUUUCCAAACUGUUCAGGAGAUGUAAGCAAAAAUAGCCAUUUUUCAUAUCUCAUUUCAUAUCUGUUUUAUUAUUAUUAUUAUUUUUUUUUUAUGAAACUUAAACAUGAUGUUUAACAUGAGAAUGAACAUCAGAAGCUUGAAUGUGAUGCGUAACACAAGAAUUAACCUAAUUGGUUCUUGCAUGUCAAGCAAGCAUGCUUGAGCUUCCCAUAUCUCAUGUGUGUGUUGAUUAUGAAUGUAAAUAAAAGCCUAAAUUCAAUCUGUUCAUCACAUAAAGUGAUGGAGUUUGCUCAGAAAAUUUGAACUGUACAAUUCACAUGGAUUAGUUUUACAAUUUAUUUAUACACUUUAAGUAUCAAAGUGAUAGUUCAAGGAUUGAAAGAAUCUGUAUUGUUGUUAUAUUGUUGUCUAUAAUUAAAUAACUAUUGAACAAUAAUGCAAACAGUAUAGGAUACAGGAGAAUAAUUGUGCAAAAAUACAAGAAAAUUGUAAACAUAAACAGAACAACUUGUUAUUUAUACAAAAUAAAACUAACUUACAAAAAAAAAAAA